rnacentral:rRNA from 1 species
UACGGGGGGGGGCAAGCGUUGUUCGGAAUUACUGGGCGUAAAGGGUUUGUAGGUGGCUUGCUAAGUCAGACGUGAAAUCCCUCAGCUUAACUGGGGACUGCGUCUGAUACUGGAUGGCUUGAGUUCGGGAGAGGGAUGCGGAAUUCCAGGUGUAGCGGUGAAAUGCGUAGAUAUCUGGAGGAACACCGGUGGCGAAGGCGGCAUCCUGGACCGACACUGACGCUGAGGAGCGAAAGCCAGGGGAGCAAACGGG